UUAUAUUUUUCCCUUAUUGCAGAACUACUGCAUGUAUACAGUGACUGAAAGGACUCAAUUCACUGCAACUGCUGCCUGGCUUUACUUACAACUUUCUUUAAAGGGGGACUUACCUUCUAUCACUCUUGCUAAGGUGACAGUACUCCAGUGACACCACCUUACCUGAAGCUGGGUAGAAUGAAACUUAAUCUUGGGAAGGAUCAUAGCAGCACUGACCUGAGGCCCCAAAAUCCCAGAGGGUGGCUGGAGGACACACAGGGAUUGAUUCUACCCUGAGCAUGCUACCCACUG